GUACACUCCUGCGGGAGGCAGCAGUGGGGAAUAUUGGACAAUGGGCGCAAGCCUGAUCCAGCCAUGCCGCGUGAGUGAUGAAGGCCCUAGGGUUGUAAAGCUCUUUCACCGGUGAAGAUAAUGACGGUAACCGGAGAAGAAGCCCCGGCUAACUUCGUGCCAGCAGCCGCGGUAAUACGAAGGGGGCUAGCGUUGUUCGGAUUUACUGGGCGUAAAGCGCACGUAGGCGGACUAUUAAGUCAGGGGUGAAAUCCCGGGGCUCAACCCCGGAACUGCCUUUGAUACUGGUAGUCUUGAGUUCGGGAGAGGUGAGUGGAAUUCCGAGUGUAGAGGUGAAAUUCGUAGAUAUUCGGAGGAACACCAGUGGCGAAGGCGGCUCACUGGCUCGAUACUGACGCUGAGGUGCGAAAGCGUGGGGAGCAAACAGGAUUAGAAACCCGGGUAGUCCC
rnacentral:rRNA from 1 species